rnacentral:rRNA from 1 species
UACAGAGGGCGCGAGCGUUGUCCGGAAUCACUGGGCGUAAAGGGCGCGUAGGUGGUUUGAUAAGGGUGUGGUGAAAGUCCGGAGCUCAACUCCGGAUCUGCCGUGCCGACUGUCAAACUCGAGGGCUGUAGAGGCAGACGGAAUUCCGGGUGUAGCGGUGGAAUGCGUAGAGAUCCGGAGGAAGACCGGUGGCGAAGGCGGUCUGCUGGGCAGCUUCUGACACUGAGGCGCGACAGCGUGGGGAGCAAACAGG